rnacentral:rRNA from 1 species
AUUGAACGCUGGCGGCAGGCCUAACACAUGCAAGUCGAGCGGAUGAAGGGAGCUUGCUCCUGGAUUCAGCGGCGGACGGGUGAGUAAUGCCUAGGAAUCUGCCUGGUAGUGGGGGAUAACGUCCGGAAACGGGCGCUAAUACCGCAUACGUCCUGAGGGAGAAAGUGGGGGAUCUUCGGACCUCACGCUAUCAGAUGAGCCUAGGUCGGAUUAGCUAGUUGGUGGGGUAAAGGCCUACCAAGGCGACGAUCCGUAACUGGUCUGAGAGGAUGAUCAGUCACACUGGAACUGAGACACGGUCCAGACUCCUACGGGAGCCAGCAGUGGGGAAGAUUGGACAAUGGGCGAAAGCCUGAUCCAGCCAUGCCGCGUGUGUGAAGAAGGUCUUCGGAUUGUAAAGCACUUUAAGUUGGGAGGAAGGGCAGUAAGUUAAUACCUUGCUGUUUUGACGUUACCAACAGAAUAAGCACCGGCUAACUUCGUG